rnacentral:rRNA from 1 species
UACGUAGGUGACAAGCGUUGUCCGGAUUUACUGGGCGUAAAGAGCGCGCAGGCGGUCGAUCAAGUCGAGUGUGAAAGCCCCCGGCUCAACUGGGGAGGGUCAUUCGAAACUGGUCGACUCGAAGGCAGGAGAGGGUAGUGGAAUUCCCGGUGUAGUGGUGAAAUGCGUAGAUAUCGGGAGGAACACCAGUGGCGAAGGCGACUACCUGGCCUGUUCUUGACGCUGAGGCGCGAAAGCUAGGGGAGCAAACAGG